ACCGUUUACUACCCCAAACCCAACAGAAAAUUCCCCCAAAUCACAUUCCCCUCUUCUCUCUUCCCUCCACGUGGUCUGACACAUAACAACCCCGAAUAUUCCUCAUUCUGUCCUCUCACUUGAAUCUCAAGUGCUUCAUCUCUCUCCAACAAAUGAAGGAUUGAUGGGGGUCGUAUGAUUAAGGAGGUUUAAUCCUCUUCGUUCAUAUGUCCCAAGUUAGUUGGUUUCAGAGAGAUUUUCUCAUUUUUUUGGGGAUUUUAGAAUUUAGAAGGUUCGAGAUUUCUGGGGAAAAGGAUAUAUAAGGUGAUGAUUUACAUUCUUAAGGGGGAUUUGUUUUGGGAAAAAGUCUGAGAACAAAUUUCAGAGAGAGAUUUUGACAGAAAACUAGGGUUUUGUGCUUAGUUUCAUUUUGAUUUUUUUUUCUCUGUUGUCUUGUCGAUCCUAGAGAAAAAAUACUAAAAAAACUAGUUUUUGUUUUGUUUUGAGUUUUGCUUCAAAAGUUUUGGAAAAACAAUUUCAAAAAAAGAAAAAGAGUUUUGUAUUUCAGUACUUCCUUUCAUCUAAAAAAGAAUGUUUCUAUUUUGAUUAAAUUAGCAUUUCAAUUCGAAAAUAUAUACAAAAAAAUAUUCCAGUUUUUGUGUUUUGAUUCCGAGUCUCAAACAUGGGUGUUCGAAUGAGCUGAGAUCGUUUAUAGUUCGCAUUCGAAAAUGCAUUUUCCAGUGAGGUUGAUUCUGUUCGAGGUUCAAGUUGGUCGUCCCUGAUUAGUUUACUGCCGUUCCAAUUUGGCGGACAAGUUUAUCACCGGACUAUCUUGUAAUCUCCUUCUGGCAAAUUAAUCGCAAACUCUCGUUCAGGUUCACAUCUUAUCCUACUCUGCUUAUGUAUGUAUGUAGCAAAGUAUGGUUGGAGCUUAAGAUAUGGAAGUUUAAAUUACAUGGUAUACUUAAGCGAGUGUUAGUGAAUGCCGGCUGCGAUCAAGCCAUUAUCAGUUUUUUUUAUGUUAAGGUGUUUGAUUUCUUUAUGUGUUUGAAAUAUGUUUUAAAGUUUGUACUUGCUUGAUUUUUACAUGAAUGACUGAACUUCUGGUCAGCUCUGUGAUUGAUAGGCGAGACAUGGUACUAUUGUGCUUAUUUUCGGUUAUUAGAAGAAUUUCUCGCACAUCUCGAUUCCAAAUUGGACUCACAAUAAUGUUAAUCAGUGAUUCCAAUUAUAUCCAAACAUCUUGAUUAGUUUAACAUGACAUAUCCAUUAGAGAAUGCCAUUAUGUGUGGGAUUUAAGGAGUCUAUGUUAGUCGUGGAUCAGCGACUUCGGUGUAGUCUUUAAUUUUUUCAAUGAACCCAGUGCACCCAGAAUAGUAAGGUUUGCUGCUUAAAGACUUAUUUUCAUAUGUUUACUUAUAUUAACUAUGGAUUAUUACGUUUUAUUUUUCCUAUCUCAAUUUAAAGGAUGAUCUCCAGAAGCUUACUCUUUCUGUUGUUCCUUCUAAUUUUCAUAAUGCCCGUGUGAUGCUCAUUACCACUCUUUAGUGCUGAUUAGUGUAAUUAAAUAGCUUUUCUUUUGGUGUAAAUGAAGAGUAAAGUAGCUUCUAUUCUUGAGUUGUAUGGUUAAUGAUAGUUUCUCUUUUGUUAAUAUGUAAAGAAAUAAAUGCCUGCAACUUAAGGAAAUUCACCAUUAUGAAAUUUAGUGUAUCUAAGGCCUAAAUAUGUAUCUGUCUAAGUAUAAUUCGAACCAUUUAAUAGCAUUUGCUUUGGUUUAGUUUUAAAAUGCAAACUUUAUAUUAGCUGGGCGUAUUCCAGCAUUUGGCUUGGUUUAACUGUUUAUUUUUUGGUGGUAGACAUUUGCUCAUAUGAUGUUCCAGCAGUCGGUAUUGUGUUCCAAGUCGAAUGAACAGUCUAUUGAAUCUUUCUCUUAUAUUUCCUAAUUGGCACACUUUAUUUUAUUUGCACUAUAAAAUAAUUGUUAUGUUAGGGAUCAUGUGAUGUUUCUUUCCUUAGGGUGGAGUUGUCUGUUGAAGUUGUGAUACUCAUAGCAGCGAAUUAAUACUUACUGUGUGGCGCAUUUGAGUUGGUUCAAUGCUCUGAUCUUUGUAUUACUGGAGUUGGCAUUGAGAAGUUGCCACUAUGUAUUUGAUAAUUAACGAGUUCCUGAUAUUGUAAUACAAUAAGAUUUCAUAUUGUGGACAAACUUUUGUACAUUAUUGAACAAUUUUGGGCAAAAUAGUCUUAAUAAUAAUAAAAUGCUAUUAAUU
rnacentral:lncRNA from 1 species